rnacentral:rRNA from 1 species
CAAGUCUUGACAUCCUCCUGAGUAUGGGGUAAUGCCCGUAGGCCUUCGGGACAGGAGAGACAGGUGGUGCAUGGUUGUCGUCAGCUCGUGUCGUGAGAUGUUGGGUUAAGUCCCGCAACGAGCGCAACCCCUAUUUCCAGUAACCAGCGAGUAGAGUCGGGGACUCUGGAGAGACUGCCCGGGAUAACCGGGAGGAAGGCGGGGAUGACGUCAAAUCAUCAUGCCCCUUAUGAUUUGGGCUACACACGUGCUACAAUGGCGUAAACAGAGGGAAGCGAACCCGUGAGGGGGAGCGAAUCCGAGAAAUAACGUCACAGUUCGGAUUGUAGUCUGCAACUCGACUACAUGAAGCUGGAAUCGCUAGUAAUCGCGGAUCAGAAUGCCGCGGUGAAUACGUUCCC